ACUGCUCAGUAACACGUGGACAACCUACCCUCCGGACGGGUAUAAACCCGGGAAACUGGGUAUAAUCCCCGAUAGAUCUCGGUCGCUGGAAAGCUCCGAGAUCGAAAGCUCCGGCGCCAGAGGAUGGGUCUGCGGCCUAUCAGGUAGUAGUGGGUGUAGCGUACCUACUAGCCUACGACGGGUACGGGUUGUGAGAGCAAGAGCCCGGAGAUGGAUUCUGAGACACGAAUCCAGGCCCUACGGGGUGCAGCAGGCGCGAAAACUUUACAAUGCCGGCAACGGCGAUAAGGGGACCUCGAGUGCCAGGUUACAAAUCUGGCUGUCGUGAUGCCUAAAAAGCAUUGCAUAGCAAGGGCCGGGCAAGACCGGUGCCAGCCGCCGCGGUAACACCGGCGGCUCGAGUGGUAACCGUUAUUAUUGGGUCUAAAGGGUCUGUAGCCGGCCGGAUAAGUCUCUUGAGAAAUCCAGCAGCUCAACUGUUGGGCUUUCAGGAGAUACUGUCUGGCUCGAGGCUGGGAGAGGUGAGAGGUACUUCAGGGGUAGGGGUGAAAUCUUGUAAUCCUUGAAGGACCACCAGUGGCGAAGGCGUCUCACCAGAACGGACCUGACGGCAAGGGACGAAAGCUAGGGGCACGAACCGGAUUAGAUACCCGGGUAGUCCUAGCCGUAAACGAUACUCGCUAGGUGUCGGCCACGGUGCGACCGUUGUCGGUGCCGUAGGGAAGCCGUGAAGCGAGCCACCUGGGAAGUACGGCCGCAAGGCUGAAACUUAAAGGAAUUGGCGGGGGAGCACCACAACGGGUGGAGCUUGCGGUUUAAUUGGAUUCAACGCCGGAAAUCUUACCGGGACCGACAGCAACAUGAAGGCCAGGCUGAAGACUUUGCCGGAUUAGCUGAGAGGUGGUGCAUGGCCGUCGUCAGUUCGUACUGUGAGGCAUCCUGUUAAGUCAGGCAACGAGCGAGACCCCCACC
rnacentral:rRNA from 1 species